GGGUUGUGAGGUUAAGCGACUAAGCGUACACGGUGGAUGCCCUGGCAGUCAGAGGCGAUGAAGGGCGUGCUAAUCUGCGAUAAGCGCCGGUAAGGUGAUAUGAACCGUUAUAACCGGCGAUACCCGAAUGGGGAAACCCAGUGUGACUCGUCACACUAUCAUUAACUGAAUCCAUAGGUUAAUGAGGCGAACCGGGGGAACUGAAACAUCUAAGUACCCCGAGGAAAAGAAAUCAACCGAGAUUCCCCCAGUAGCGGCGAGCGAACGGGGAGGAGCCCAGAGCCUGAAUCAGCAUGUGUGUUAGUGGAAGCGUCUGGAAAGGCGCGCGAUACAGGGUGACAGCCCCGUACACAAAAGCGCAUGUGCUGUGAGCUCGAUGAGUAGGGCGGGACACGUGGUAUCCUGUCUGAAUAUGGGGGGACCAUCCUCCAAGGCUAAAUACUCCUGACUGACCGAUAGUGAACCAGUACCGUGAGGGAAAGGCGAAAAGAACCCCGGCGAGGGGAGUGAAAAAGAACCUGAAACCGUGUACGUACAAGCAGUGGGAGCACCCUUUGGGUGUGACUGCGUACCUUUUGUAUAAUGGGUCAGCGACUUAUAU
rnacentral:rRNA from 2 species